GGAAAUGAUUGUAUCACAAUACCAGACAGCCAUUGAGAGUGUACUCGUGAGUUUACCAGUCAAAUGAAUGCAAUAAAGAGGUCAAUGGAACACAGACAGUAGGGGAUAGAAUAAGGAUGCAGGAUUGCCGCACAUUCAACAAAUCUGAUAUAACAAAGUAGAUAUUCAUCAAAUCCGUCAUGAUUGAUGUAUUGUAACAGGCCCACAAUAUGGUUACUAAAGUCCAAUUUGGAUAUAUUUGGCUGUUUUUGCUGCAUAACAUUUAGAAGCUGUUCCUUUUCCAGUUUAGAAGAAGUGACUCCUAAAUGCUAACUCCCAUUCGCAUAAGCUGGUAGCAUAGCUAGCAUACAGAAAUCGGUGGUGGUAGUCAAAGUCGUUUUUUAACUGCAAUGCUGUUGAUUGGUGACGAUGUCCCAAAAAAUAUUUGGGGUUAACAUCUAUACAAACAUUAUAUUCAGAUUUUUACCUCAACCUAGUGUGAAAUACACAUAUAAACAAUAGCCUAAAUGCAGGAACAUUUUGCUAGGGGGCAAUGAGGAGAAUUGGGAUCGUUCCCCGACAGCAAAUUUCCCCCACGUGUUUCCAUGGCAUUUCCAUUGUUUGAGUCAAGUUCCAUUGACCUCUUUACUGCAUAAUUUGCCAAGGUUAGAGCUUCCAAGCCCUCUCUAUUCAUUAUAUUUCUAUGGUGCUGCCUGCCUAUCACAGCUUGAAGUUCCAGUGAGAUGGGUUAUUAUGAUGUAAGAGGUAGAGGAAGAGAUGACCUAUGAAAUGAUCUCUGUCUGCAUGCAUUAACAUUGUCAUAUUUUUCAAAGAAACGCACAGGCAAGCCAAGCUCCACCAAAGAAAAUAUUUGCAAGGCCGAAGACCUUAGGGACGUUGUUCUAAAGGUAAUACAAUCAGGCGACCACUAACCCAAAAGAAACCUGGUCUGUACGUAACUGUAGAAGUUUGAAAUGAAUGAUGUUCUGUAGAUACUGUCUCCUACUGCUGAUACUGGUGCACUGAAUCGAUCAGCCAACAACAAUAAAGCAAUGGACUGAUUUCAGUUUUAAAAGAUGUCAAUUUUUUGCACCUAGGGUUUACUAAGGGUUACUUAUUAUAGUCAAUCAUAAAGGUGUCUUAAAAUACGGUUGAAAUAAUUGUAACAUGUUAAAAUUGACUAAAAUGGCCCGUCAUUAUACAAUAAGGCCCUAUGUCAAAUGACUUUUGCAUAAUUGAUAUAGAAGAACAAAAGAACAAUCAGGUAUAACAGUCUUUUUUUAUUCUCCAAGCCAUCAAUGAACAUUCCUCAAUGUUUGCACCACUAUAAAAGGCCAAAACUUUUCAUCCAUUAUUUUUUCAUAUAGUUAAGGAAAGGAUAUGUGAAAGUCUAAAUUAGAUCACUAUUGAAUGCUAAUUCCAAAAAAACAUUUUUAAUAUUCAUCAGCCUCACACACAAAGACAAGACUAUUCAUUCCAUUCAACAUUUCCAAUGUCACGUUUCUUUGCUCUGUUGUCCAGUUUUCCUAUACUCAUCCCUCAAAUUUCACUGGCUUUCAUCUCACCACAAAUGCUGCAAACACAGGCUGCCCCUCUACAAUGACAUGUGGGGCACAAAGACUCAGUGGGGCACACUGCAUCCAUGUCUCACAUCUCUUCCUACAUGUAUCUCACUCCCCCUCUCUACACUUGAGUGGUUGUAUUUCCUUUUGGUUAAUCGGAAACUCGUUUGCCACAACAGACAUUUUUAUAUUUAUCUUCAGAAGCUUGUGUUGGAGGUUUUUUCGGAUCAUUAGGUACAUCACAUUUAUAUUAGCUUCAGACCAAGUCUACAGCCUGACUUAUUGCCUCACCGAUUGCCUCAGGAAUCUGGAUGUCGCCGGGCAGGUUCAAGUUCUUUUUUAAUUCGCAGUAACUUUGCACCUCAACGGCAUCCUCUGGCUUGUCAAUGCCGUUGACACAUUCCUUUUGCUGUGGCUCCGGGGCAGACACGGCAGCCGGCUCGACCGCCUGCUCCUGACACUCCCCAUUGACCUCAGGGGCAGAAGGCUCAGCAGUAGCCUCCACUGAGGAAACAACUUCCUUGUUGUCCAGCACAGCCUCCUCUUGCUCAGCGCUGGCCUCCUCUGCAGCAGCAGGUGCAGCAGAUUCUGAAAUGAUGAUCUCCGGGAUGGGUUCUGCGAUGUCGGCAGCGUCUGGCUCUGCUGCUUCAGUUACUGCAUCAGCAGCUUCAGAUUCAAGCUCUGCUACGGAUUCUUCUACAGGUAGGGGGAGCUCUUCAGCAGCUGGUUGUGGGAUGGAAUCUGCCUCUGGCUCUGCGGCUGCCUCUGUGGCUGACUCUGACACGGCUUCUGCAACUGAUGCAGGCUCCUCCUCCGGGGUGGGUGAAGCUGCUUCUGCCUCUACUGGUGCCUCGACCACAGCAUCAGGUUCUGGGGCCUUCCCUGUAACAGUCUCUGUUUCAGGCUCUGGAGCGGCAGGCUCUGGUUCUGUAGUGUCUGUAAUCUCUGCUGUCACCUCUGUGGCUUGUUCUGUAGCCUCAGAAGCCUUUUCUGGUGCUGCAGCUAGCUCCACAGAGGCUGCCACAGGCUCUUCUGGUGCAGGCUCUUUUGGUGCUGCCUCAGGCUCCUCUGGUGCAGGCUCUUUCGGUGCUGCCGCAGGCUCUUCUGAUGGAGGCUCUUCCACUGCAGGCUCUUUUGGUGCUGCUGCAGGCUCUUCUGGUGCAGGUUGUUUUUGGGCUGCUGCAGGCUCUUCUGGUGCAGGUUCUUUUGGUGCUGUUGCAGGCUCUUCUGGUACAGGCUCUUCUGGUACAGGCUCUUCCACUGCAGGCUCUUUUGGUGCAGCCGCUGGUUCCUUUAGUGCCGCUGGUUCUUCCGGUGCCUCUGUUUUAUCUGUUGCUGCUGCAGGUUCCUCUGGUGCUGCCGCAGGUUCCUCCAGUGAUGCUGCUGGUUCCUCAGCUGCUGCAGGUUCUUCCCGUGCUGCCACUGGCUCUUCUAAGGCUGCAGGUUCUUCUGGUGCUGCAGCUGGUGCUGGGUCCUCUGGUGCUGUGGCUGGUUCUUCUGAAGCCACUGGUUCUUCUGCUGCUGGCGCUGGUUCUGCCGGUGCUGCCACGGGUUCAUCUGGUACAGCCGCUGGCUCUGCGGUGGCCCCCUUGGCCACGGCCUCUAUAGCUGACAGUGCCUCUUCUGUCGCUUCUGUGAUGGCUACCACUGUCGACUCCACUGCUCCCUCCACCGCAGCAGACACCUUAGGAGCAGUCUUCGCUGCCAACUCAGCGACCGGAGCUGGUGCUUUGCUCUCCACAACAUGGGUCACGGCCUCAACGGCACUCACAGCAGCCACAGUAAUCUCCUCCUUCUUGUCCUUUGGGUCGCUGACAUCGUACCCCUUCUUCCGCUUGCUCAGCUUGCCUCCCAUGGUGUCUCCUAAAAGUGAAUAAUACAAUCAGAAUGACUUAACAAGUGGGAUAGGUUGUGGCGUUUGAAAAUAUAUGUAUAG
ensembl:lncRNA